rnacentral:lncRNA from 1 species
CCCCAGACUAGUACAAUUUCAUUCAGACUAGUAAGUUUUUGCAAAAUUUUGUUUUGCCCAAUAAGAAAAAUGUCAAAAUAUUGGUCUUCGGACUAGUAGUUGAAAAAGUUUUUGGUGCAGACUGGAAUCAACUGUAAUUAUGGACAAAGGAAGAUAACUCCAAUUUUUUUUUUAUAUUCUUGAUUGAUACAUGUAUUUUUGAAAUUUUUCCAUUUGAAAAGGGCAUAAUUUAGUAUUCGAUGCAUGAUUUUUUUAUUAGUUGUAAGUGGCUUUGAACUAGCUGUCAGAUAACUGUGAGUACUCUCAGAUCUGUUCAUUGCGUCUUUUUGUUGUCGGGAUGUACAAGUACCCAGCCAAGUUCACUUGUAUUUUUGUCCAUCUGAUGAGUUAAUUUUCAACUGUUUUUUAUAGUUCGUUCUUAUGUUGUACGACUGUCCCAGGUGAAGGGUUUGGAUCCCGCUAACAUGUUUAAUCCUGCCACAUUAUUUAUGUAUGUGCCUGUUCCAAGUCAGGAGCCUGUAAUUCAGUGGUUGUCGUUUGUUUAUAUGAGUUACAUAUUUGUUUUUCAUUCAUUUUACUAUAUAAAUAAGGCCGUUAGUUUUCUCGUUUGAAUUAUUUUACAUUGUCAUAUCGGGGCCUUUUAUAGCCGACUAUGCGGUAUGGGCUUUGCACAUUGUUGAAGGCCGUACGGUGACCUAUAGUUGUUAAUGUCUGUCAU